rnacentral:rRNA from 1 species
AUUGAACGCUGGCGGCAGGCCUAACACAUGCAAGUCGAACGAGUGGCGGACGGGUGAGUAAUGUCUGGGAAACUGCCCGAUGGCGGGGGAUAACUACUGGAAACGGUAGCUAAUACCGCAUACCAUCGGAUGUGCCCAGAUUUUAUUAGCUAUGAGGUGGGGUAACGGAUCACCUAGGCGACGAUCCCUAUCUGGUCUGAGAGGAUGACCAGCCACACUGGAACUGAGACACGGUCCAGACUCAUACGGGAGGCAGAAGUGGGGAAUAUUGCACAAUGGGCGCAAGCCUGAUGCAGCCAUGCCGCGUGUAUGAAGAAGGCCUUCGGGUUGUAAAGUACUUUCAGCGAGGAGGCGUGAAAGGGAGAAGAAGCACCGGCUAACUCCGUGCCAGCAGCCGCGGUAAGUG